AAUGGGGAAACCCGGCAGUCGUCAUGGGCUGUCACCCGCUGCUGAACACAUAGGCAGUGUGGAGGGAACGAGGGGAAGUGAAACAUCUCAGUACCCUCAGGAAGAGAAAACAACCGUGAUUCCGGGAGUAGUGGCGAGCGAAACUGGAUGAGGCCAAACCGUAUGCGUGUGAUACCCGGCAGGGGUUGCGCAUACGGGGUUGUGGGAUCUCUUUUUCAUAGUCUGCCGGCUGUGAGACGAGUCAGAAACCGUUGAUGUAGGCGAAGGACAUGCGAAAGGUCCGGCGUAGAGGGUAAGACCCCCGUAGCUGAAACAUCAACGGCUCGUUUGAGAGACACCCAAGUAGCACGGGGCCCGAGAAAUCCCGUGUGAAUCUGGCGGGACCACCCGCUAAGCCUAAAUAUUCCCUGGUGACCGAUAGCGGAUAGUACCGUGAGGGAAUGGUGAAAAGUACCGCGGGAGCGGAGUGAAAUAGUACCUGAAACCGUGUGCCUACAAGCCGUGGGAGCGUCGCUGGCAGCACUUGUGCUGUCAGUCGUGACUGCGUGCCUUUUGAAGAAUGAGCCUGCGAGUUAGCGGUGUGUAGCGAGGUUAACCCGUGUGGGGAAGCCGUAGCGAAAGCGAGUCCGAAUAGGGCGUUUGAGUUGCACGCUCUAGACCCGAAGCGGAGUGAUCUAGCCAUGGGCAGGUUGAAGCGGAGGUAAGACUUCGUGGAGGACCGAACCCACCAGGGUUGAAAACCUGGGGGAUGACCUGUGGUUAGGGGUGAAAGGCCAAUCAAACUCCGUGAUAGCUGGUUCUCCCCGAAAUGCAUUUAGGUGCAGCGUCGUGUGUUUCUUGCCGGAGGUAGAGCACUGGAUAGGCGAUGGGCCCUACCGGGUUACUGACCUUAGCCAAACUCCGAAUGCCGGUAAGUGAGAGCGCGGCAGUGAGACUGUGGGGGAUAAGCUCCAUGGUCGAGAGGGAAACAGCCCAGAGCAUCGACUAAGGCCCCUAAGCGUACGCUAAGUGGGAAAGGAUGUGGAGUCGCAGAGACAACCAGGAGGUUGGCUUAGAAGCAGCCACCCUUGAAAGAGUGCGUAAUAGCUCACUGGUCAAGUGAUUCCGCGCCGACAAUGUAGCGGGGCUCAAGCGUACCGCCGAAGUCGUGUCAUUCACACAUUGAGGGCCAACGCCUGUGUGGAUGGGUAGGGGAGCGUCGUGUGCCGGGUGAAGCAGCCGCGGAAGCGAGUUGUGGACGGUUCACGAGUGAGAAUGCAGGCAUGAGUAGCGAUACACACGUGAGAAACGUGUGCGCCGAUUGACUAAGGGUUCCUGGGUCAAGCUGAUCUGCCCAGGGUAAGUCGGGACCUAAGGCGAGGCCGACAGGCGUAGUCGAUGGACAACCGGUUGAUAUUCCGGUACCCGCUUUGAAACGCCCAGUACUGAAUCAGGCGAUGCUAAGUCCGUGAAGCCGGCCCGAUCUCUUCGGAGUUGAGGGUAGUGGUGGAGCCGAUGAACCAGACUUGUAGUAGGUAAGCGAUGGGGUGACGCAGGAAGGUAGUCCAGCCCGGGCGGUGGUUGUCCCGGGGUAAGGGUGUAGCCCGUGUGGUAGGUAAAUCCGUCACACAUGCAGGG
rnacentral:rRNA from 1 species